rnacentral:rRNA from 1 species
UCGGGAAUUUUGGGCAAUGGGCGAAAGCCUGACCCAGCAACGCCGCGUGAAGGAUGAAGUAUUUCGGUAUGUAAACUUCGUAAGAAUAGGAAGAAUAAAUGACGGUACUAUUUGUAAGGUCCGGCUAACUACGUGCCAACAGCCGCGGUAAUACGUAGGGACCAAGCGUUGUUCGGAAUUACUGGGCGUAAAGGGCGCGUAGGCGGCCCUCUAAGUCAGACGUGAAAUCCCCCGGCUUAACCUGGGAACUGCGUCUGAUACUGGAGGGCUUGAGUAUGGGAGAGGGAUGUAGAAUUCCAGGUGUAGCGGUGAAAUGCGUAGAUAUCUGGAGGAAUACCGGUGGCGAAGGCGGCAUCCUGGACCAUUACUGACGCUGAGGCGCGAAAGCUAGGGGAGCAAACGGGAUUAGAUACCCCUGUAGUCCCUGAGCGGGCUGGCAAGGCGCAU